GAAAGCGAUGCUAAUACCGAAUGAUAUCUCAAAAACUUCGGUUUUUAAGAUCAAAGGUGGCCGCUCCAUGGGAGCUACUGUUAGGAGAUGAGCCCGCGUACCAUUAGCUUGUUGGUAGGGUAAUGGCCUACCAAGGCAACGAUGGUUAGCUGGUCUGAGNAGGAUGAUCAGCCACACUGGAACUGACACACGGUCCAGACUCCUACGGGAGGCAGCAGCGAGGAAUUUUGCGCAAUGGGGGAAACCCUGACGCAGCAACGCCGCGUGAGUGAUGAAGGCUUUCGGGUCGUAAAGCUCUGUCAAGUGGGAAGAACNUGCCCUGUGCUAAUAUCACCGGGCACUGACGGUNCCACUGAAGGAAGCACCGGCUAACUCCGUGCCAGCAGCCGCGGUAAUACGGGGGGGUGCAAGCGUUUAUUCGGAAUCACNUGAGCGUAAAGAGCGCGGUAGGCGGUCUCUUAAGUCANAUGUGAAAAGCCCGGNGGCUCAACCCCCGGAAG
rnacentral:rRNA from 1 species